rnacentral:rRNA from 1 species
CACGUAGGGACCAAGCGUUGUCCGGAUUCAUUGGGCGUAAAGGGUGCGUAGGCGGCGGAGUAAGUUGGGUGUGAAAUCCCGGGGCUCAACCUCGGAAUUGCAUUCAAUACUGCUUCGCUCGAGUACUGGAGAGGAGGCUGGAAUUUACGGUGUAGCAGUGAAAUGCGUAGAUAUCGUAAGGAAGGCCGGUGGCGAAAGCGAGCCUCUGGACAGUUACUGACGCUGAUGCACGAAGGCCAGGGGAGCAAACGGG